CCUUUAUAUAUUUGGGUCCUCCAGUGAUGGGAACAUCUAUAUGUACAGUUUUUAUACCUUCUUGCUGAACUGACUCUUUUGUCAUUAUAUAGUGACCUUUCUCUCUUUCUUACAGGAUGCUGCCUGUUGGGUGGAGACCUGUCCAAAGCUGUUGGCCAGAACAUCUACAGGUGGUUGCUGACUCCCUGAAUACACUUCUCUCUGGCCAAUAACCAACCUACUGUGUCCAGAAGUUAUUCUUUCCAGUGGCUUCUUGGUCUCGCUGACUUCAAGAAUGAAGCUGUGGACCCUCAUGGCAAGCAACCAAGAAAUCAUGGGAGAUGUAGCUGUCUGUAUUUAAGAGAUGGGCAGAGCAAGGCUGAACAGAGCAAACAGACAAACGACUGGCGUGUUGAAGGAGAUGCAGCGUUCCUGUGGGUAAUGUCUCCUGUUGUCACCAGUAUAUAGCAUAAAGACAUUUGCCACCUGCCAGCUGCACGCCUGGAUGACCCCUGAGGAUGGAGCUCAUUAUUUUGUCUGUCUUAGUUUAUUUAGGGCCUGAUUAUCUUGCCUAGAUGAAACCUGGCUUCAUCUCAGCCCAUCUCAUUCCCUAUUAUAUUCUAAAUCCUCUUGUUAGGAAAUAAAUCUUGCCAAACUGGUAUCUAAAGCAUAUUCAUGGGCCCUUCAAUCAACGUGUACAGCCCAGAGGUUUGAGGAAGCUCUGUCUCAAAACCUCUCUUUGGCUAAUAAAGCUCAGACCCUAGAGUAUAUGGUGUUGCUUUCUCCUGGGUUGGUUGAAAACAGCACUUUCAUUGGUUUUAUCUUCUCUGACCUAAUGCAAUUUCCCAUUUCCAACCAAACCUAAUAGCUUUAUUUUCUUCACACUCUUCCUCCUUUUUUCCUUUAACACUUCCCAUUGGGAGAGAAAAGAAGCAAGAUUUUCCUUCACUUUACUUUCAUUACCUCUUGAUGCUCUCCCUGAGCAUCAGGUGUCAGAAAUUCUACAAUCAUGAAACGCUAAAAUACUAUAUUAUGUUCCUACAGGUCUGGGCCUUAUAAAUUUC
rnacentral:lncRNA from 1 species